rnacentral:rRNA from 1 species
UACGUAGGUCCCGAGCGUUGUCCGGAUUUAUUGGGCGUAAAGCGAGCGCAGGUGGUUUAUUAAGUCUGGUGUAAAAGGCAGUGGCUCAACCAUUGUAUGCAUUGGAAACUGGUAGACUUGAGUGCAGGAGAGGAGAGUGGAAUUCCAUGUGUAGCGGUGAAAUGCGUAGAUAUAUGGAGGAACACCGGUGGCGAAAGCGGCUCUCUGGACUGUCACUGACACUGAGGCUCGAAAGCGUGGGGAGCAAACAGG